rnacentral:rRNA from 1 species
AUUGAACGCUGGCGGCAGGCCUAACACAUGCAAGUCGAACGGUAACAGGAAGCAGCUUGCUGCUUCGCUGACGAGUGGCGGACGGGUGAGUAAUGUCUGGGAAACUGCCUGAUGGAGGGGGAUAACUACUGGAAACGGUAGCUAAUACCGCAUAACGUCGCAAGACCAAGAGGGGGACCUUAGGGCCUCUUGCCAUCGGAUGUGCCCAGAUGGGAUUAGCUAGUAGGUGGGGUAACGGCUCACCUAGGCGACGAUCCCUAGCUGGUCUGAGAGGAUGACCAGCCACACUGGAACUGAGACACGGUCCAGACUCCUACGGGAGGCAGCAGUGGGGAAUAUUGCACAAUGGGCGCAAGCCUGAUGCAGCCAUGCCGCGUGUAUGAAGAAGGCCUUCGGGUUGUAAAGUACUUUCAGCGGGGAGGAAGGGAGUAAAGUUAAUACCUUUGCUCAUUGACGUUACCCGCAGAAGAAGCACCGGCUAACUCCGUG